GCGUAGUAACCAAAUUCUCGCUUCUGAAGCCGGCCCGGGUCCUGCCGUAAAACCCCCUAUAUUUUUCUGGUUGACCUCGGAUCAGGUAGGAAUACCCGCUGAACUUAAGCAUAUCAAUAAGCGGAGGAAAAGAAACCAACAGGGAUUGCCCUAGUAACGGCGAGUGAAGCGGCAACAGCUCAAAUUUGAAAUCUGGCCUUCGGGUCCGAGUUGUAAUUUGCAGAGGAUGCUUUUGGCGCGGUGCCUUCCGAGUUCCCUGGAACGGGACGCCUUAGAGGGUGAGAGCCCCGUACGGUUGGACACCAAGCCUCUGUAAAGCUCCUUCGACGAGUCGAGUAGUUUGGGAAUGCUGCUCUAAAUGGGAGGUAAAUUUCUUCUAAAGCUAAAUACCGGCCAGAGACCGAUAGCGCACAAGUAGAGUGAUCGAAAGAUGAAAAGCACUUUGAAAAGAGGGUUAAAUAGCACGUGAAAUUGUUGAAAGGGAAGCGUUUACGGCCAGACCUUUUCCUGGCGGAUCAUCUGGUGUUCUCACCAGUGCACUUCGCCAGGUUUAGGCCAGCAUCGGCUUCUGUAGGGGGAUAAAAGCAGUGGGAAAGUAGCUCCCUCGGGAGUGUUAUAGCCCUAAGCAUAAUACCC
rnacentral:rRNA from 1 species